ACACUUAGAUAUUAAGUAAGUUCUUUGUGAAAUUCUGUAAUAAAAUUCUACUUCAUUAAAGAGCUGUUGAUUUGUUUUCAGUUUUUAGAAAUUCUGCAGUUGAAGUUAUAUUUUCAGAGGUGCUUCAGUUUUUUUGAAAUACACUGUACUCAAAUCCUUCAGGUUGGAGAAUGGCCUUGGACUCAAUUCAGCAUGCCCACUUAAUGCCCAGAAGCUGCACAUUUAUGGCCUGUGGGCUGUCUCUUUGGUCUGAACAUCACUUGAGAACAUUUUGAACUUGCAUUGAACAUUUCAAGAAGGGACACAUACUCUUCUCUCCCUCAGGGGAUCUGCCUAGCCCCAGGAGAUCUGGUUGUCUUUAAUCGCUUGUUGAGAAUAAGGGCUGCGGCAUUUUUGAGGUCUCCUCCUUGCUGGCUGAUCUUGCUGGUACAGUCCUGAUGUCUGUGACCUGUGUUCAUCUGCUACUGCUUCUCGCCUUGGAAACACAGUGACUCAUCCUGCGUACCCAACUGGCUACUGCCCAGAGUCCAGUUCUAUCUGUUCUGCUCUUAACAAUGGCUGCAUAAGUACUUUUUGGGUCUAACAAGACUCAGUGCACUCUCCCUCUUUCCAACUAUUUCACAAGGACUGUUCAUUAAAACGCUAAAGCCAGUGAGAUAAAAGAAGUCAAAGAACAGUUGCCCAUUUCUACAAUCACUAUUAAUUAACUAACUACUUACAUCAGAACACAGGCAGAGUAUACAUCCCUAUGGCUGAAUUUGAAUGACAGCCUCUCUCAGGCCAGGACAGGAUGACAAGAAAAAAAAGACUAAACACUACCUACGCUCAAUGUUCCACACCUCUUAAGCCAGUAAUCCUGUAUCUGGUGUCUGGCAGCAAAGAAAAUAAAAUAUACCUCAUCUGUGCUCCAUUUGGAGACUUUACUGGCAGGGAUUCCAGCGACAGUUGGAA
rnacentral:antisense_RNA from 1 species